rnacentral:rRNA from 1 species
UACGGAGGGUGCAAGCGUUAUCCGGAUUCACUGGGUUUAAAGGGUGCGUAGGCGGAUAGGUAAGUCCGUGGUGAAAUCCUGCAGCUUAACUGCAGAACUGCCAUGGAUACUAUUUAUCUUGAAUGUCGUGGAGGUUAGCAGAAUAUGUCAUGUAGCGGUGAAAUGCUUAGAUAUGACAUAGAAUACCCAUUGCGAAGGCAGCUAACUACGCGAUAAUUGACGCUGAUGCACGAAAAGCGUGGGGAUCAAACAGG